AAUUCCCGCCACGUUUGAGGUGCUUCGAUCGCUUUUCAUGGUCGAGUUAAACGGGAACCAGGUACGGGACGCUCUGAAUAGUCAUACGGUCAUUGAGAGCUUCCCGGACGCCUGGGCUGCCCCCGCAACGGUGAGCAGGUGUGGGCGUAUCAAUCAAGGAACCUCUGAGCAAUUCGGAGGUCCGCGAGGCCACUGUGAAUUCUCCAGUUCAUGGGAAGGCGAUACGUCAAAUCCUGCAAGCCCGGAUACCGGCCUUGAACGUAUACGGAAC
rnacentral:ncRNA from 1 species